rnacentral:tRNA from 1 species
UAAAUUAAUUAAAUUUAAUUUCUUUUCAAUGUAAAUGAAAUACUUUAUAUAAGCUAUAAUUUA